rnacentral:rRNA from 1 species
GAUGAACGCUGGCGGCGUGCUUAACACAUGCAAGUCGAACGGAAAGGCCCAAGCUUGCUUGGGUACUCGAGUGGCGAACGGGUGAGUAACACGUGGGUGAUCUGCCCUGCACUUCGGGAUAAGCCUUGGAAACUGGGUCUAAUACCGGAUAGGACCACAUUUUGGAUGGUGUGGUGGAAAGUUUUUCGGUGUGGGAUGAGCUCGCGGCCUAUCAGCUUGUUGGUGGGGUAAUGGCCUACCAAGGCGUCGACGGGUAGCCGGCCUGGGAGGGUGUACGGCCACAUUGGGACUGAGAUACGGACCAGACUCGUACGGGAGGCAGCAGUGGGGAAUAUUGCACAAUGGGCGCAAGCGUGGUGCAGCGACGCCGCGUGGGGGAUGACGGCCUUCGGGUUGUAAACUCCUUUCGCUAGGGACGAAGCGCAAGUGACGGUACCUGGAGAAGAGGCACCGGCUAACUACGUG